UUUUCCCCAUUCCACUGCUGUUGUAAGACCCCCUUUCAGGGACCCCCACUCUAGUCUCAGGAGUGAGAGAGCACCCAGAGAAACACGAGAAUCC
rnacentral:pre_miRNA from 7 species